rnacentral:lncRNA from 1 species
AAGUCGUUUAAAGGCAAUUUUUGACAUUCCGUGCAUUCUAAAAGAGUCGCAUUCUCUUCUUAGAAAGUUAAUCGACCAACUGAGUCAACACUUACGUUCCUUGGAGUCUUUAGGUCUGCCUGUGAACUCAUGGGAUGCCAUAAUCAUAUUCGUAAUUGCUGGAAAGCUAGAUUUUUUGACGAAGCGAGAAUGGGAGGAAUAUUCUUUAAAACUCAACAAGGAUAUUUCAACCAUCAGUAAACUAAUUUCAUUUUUAAAUGCACAACAGCACAACAUUCAACAACACAAAAACUAACUGCGAAACCAAUUGCUCGUAUAAAUAACCAAACUUAUCUAGCCUUAAACAAAGCGUCCUGUCUUAUGUGUCAAGCAGAUAACUUUAUAUUCUUAUGCAAAGACUUUUUUAAAUUAACCCCUUAACAACGCUUCAACAAAAUUAAGAAACUGAAUGCGUGUAGAAAUUGUCUUCGAGUUGGACAUCAGGAUAAGUAAUGCCGUAACCAAUAUUCUUGCAGGAAGUGUUCUGAUCGACAUAACACCUUACUUACUUCGUCCUACUCAGUCAUUAAAUUCAAAUCAUUCAUCAAAUAAUCAACGCAAUCAUUCACAGUUGCCCCCAGCAGGUACAAAUGAUAGCUCCUUCAAUUCACCUUCCGACUUCACUCAAUCUCAAUCAGUGGUUUAUCACAUUAAAUCUGAACCAUACAUCUUGCUUUCUACUGCUAUCAUUUCAGUUCUUGACAGAAGUGGUAAACCACAUUCAUGCAGGGUCCUAUUGGACAACUGUUCGCAAUCAAAUUUCAUUACCAGUUUUAUGUGUUCGAAACUUCGACUCUCAACAACCAAGAUCUCUCAUAAGGUAGAAAGUUUUGGUAGCGAUAUAACUUCCAUAUUUGAGAAAACAAAUAUAACUUUGAAAUCACAGGUAAACUCUUUCAAGUUGGCCAAUAUUCCAUUCGUGAUCACAGAUCAAAUUUCCAGAAAUUUACCGUGUCGCAAGGGUUGGGUUGUGGGUUUAGCCUCGGAUUGUUUCACUCCGCUUUAUGGGUUCAGAGGCACUACUUAGGGGAAAUUAAGCGUGGGCAUUCACUUUAACAAUGUAUUGCUAUCUUACAAGAAAUUGGGGUAAAAGUUACAAGCUGAAGGCGGAUUUGGUAUCUCCAUGGAAUCGUGCGUGUGCGUCUCGGUAGCUCGCCAGGAUGAACUGCUUCUUAUUGUUAUUCAUCUAUAUCGUGAAUGUUAUCCAGUGGCGGCGACAUUCGAUGGUGUUACAACCGUCAUUUUCGUUUGAUACCAAGAUAGUUUUACAAAUACCAAGUAAUAUCGUUUUGGCCGAUAAACGAUUUAAUGAAUCAAGUUCAAUCGACAUGCUUUUGGGUGCUUCUGUAUUUUGGAGCCUAAUAUGCGUUGGACAAAUUUUAUUACCCAAUUCAGAUACAGUUUUGCAAAAAACAAAGUUUGGUUGGAUUUUAUCUGGUCCGUUACCUUUAAACCCUCUAAAUAACUAAAUUUGCAAUUUAUCUCUUAAUUAAUCUCAAUAUCAAGCCAUACACGAUCAACUUGAAAGUUUUUGGCGAUUAGAAGAAUUUUUCAGCACUCCUAAUCUCUCGCAAGAGCUUGAUUGUGAAGAACAUUUCAUAAACACUACAGGUCGGGACAGUUCCGGUCGUUUCCAGUGAAAGGCAAUUUAAGUGAUCUUGGAGAAUCCUAUAAAGUUGCUCUAAAACGAUUUUAGGCCAUGGAACGAAAAUUAAAUAAGGAUCCGGUAUUAAAAGAUCAAUACGUCAACUUCAUAAAAGAAUAUGAAAAGUUAGGGCACAUGUCAAAAAUCAAUUCAAAUGCAAUUAAUUCGGAAAACAUUAAAUUUUAUUUGCCUCAUCAUGGUGUUGUUAAGCAAUCUAGCACCACUACCAAACUUCGAGUGGUUUUCGACGGUUCAGUCAAAUCUUCUAGUGGGAUUUCCUUCAAUGAUACCUUAAAAGUAAGCCCAAAAUUACAGGAUGACCUCAUGGAUCUUCUUCUCAAUUUCAGAACUCAUAAGGUAGCUUUUACUGCUGACAUAGAAAAAAUGUACAGGUGCCUUAUGUUGAACAAACCUGAUCGUGAACUUCAUCGUAUUUUAUUCCGUUCAAGUCCUACAGACGAAUUAAAUCAUUACCAACUAAACACUGUGACAUAUGGAAUGUCUUGUGCAUCCUUCCUGGCUAUUAAAGCUUUACGUCAAGUUGCUAUAGACAUAAAAGACCAGUAUCCCACAGUUUCCAAUACUAUUUUGUCGCAUUUUUAUGUUGAUGAUCUUCUGCCUGGCUCCUCAUUAGUGGAAGAAGCCAAUCAGACGAUAAAGGACCUCACUCGAAUAUUACAAUCAUAUGGAUUCAAUUUGGGCAAGUUUGUUUCCAGCAAUCCGCAAGUAUUGGACAACAUUCAUGGUAGUCAAUCAGCAUAAAAUAAGUUUAUUUCAGACGAUAAAACAAUAAAAACCCUGGGCUUAACAUGGAAUUCCCAUUUGGACACUUUUCAAUACACAUUUCACAUAACUCCUCACACCCGUGUUACUAAGCGAACCAUUUUGUCUACGGCAGCAAAAAUAUUUGAUCCACUCGGUCUUGUCGGUCCCUGCGUUGUUAAGGCCAAGCUCAUGCUUCAACAGCUGGCAGCUAGGCACCGAUUGGGAUGAAAGUGUUCCAUUAAAAUUGCAUAGGGCCUGGAUGGAAUUCGAAACUCAAAUCCCCAUGCUAAACGACAUUUUUAUAUUAACGAUAUUUUCACCCAGGCACGCUAUUUGUUCUGACCCUGUUGCAUAGAGUUGCAUUGUUUUAGUGAUGCCUCUGAGAAGGCGUAUGGCUGCUGCUGCUAUCUUCGCAGCAUUGAUGCUGCAGGAACCAUACAUGUUCAUUUGCUUUGCGCCAAAUCUCGCGUAGCACCCUUAAAAACCAUUAGUCUUCCUCGUUUGGAACUUUGCGGGGCCUUAUUACUCACUCGUCUUGCACAAAAGGUUAUUCAUAGUUUCAAGUUAAAAAUUGACCAACACAGACUCUACAAUAAUUUUAGAAUGGAUUGCCUUACCUCCAAAUCAACUGCAGACCUUCGUUGCAAAUCGUAUUUCCAAAAUUCAACAAUCAACUGAAGCCAGUCAAUGGUUUCACAUUUCGAGUGAAAACAAUCCAGCAGAUAUUAUAUCUAGAGGUCUGGAUGGUCAAGCUCUAAAGUCCUCAAAUCUUUGGUGGAAUGGUCCAGCCCUGUUGCAUCAAACUACUAUUUCUCUAGUUCUAAAUCGUGAAACAUCUUUCCCCGAAAUUCCCGAGUUAAAGAAAUCCUCAGUUACCAUGAUAAUUCAACCCUCACCAUUCAUAUCAGUUAACGAUAAAAUCUCAUCAUUUACUCGCCUUCAAAGAGUCAUGUCCUAUUGUUUGCGUUUUAUUAAAAAUUGUUCUUCUAAGUGGAAGAAGGAACCCACUCCUUUUUCAGGUUUUCAAACUUAAUAAUUCUGUUAUUAUUAUUCUCAAAAUAAUUCAAUCUCUAUUUUCCUCAGGAACUUCAAUAUCUCAAGCAAUCAAAGUGUCUGUUUCCUAAAAGUUUUAUCUUAAGGCUAACUCCGUUUUUGGACAACAAUGAUAUAAUCAGGGUUGGAGGUAGACUUAAGAAUGCCUUUUUUUCCUUUGAUCAUAAGCAUCCAAUUUUGUUGCCUAGUGGCAGCCACUUCACUAAAUUAGUCAUUAAAUAUGAACAUUUGCGUUAUUUGCAUGCUGGGGCUCAAACAACGCUUUCAACAGUUCGGCAAAAGUUUUGGCCCAUAAAUGGUCGUCAUGUUACUCAACAAAUCUUGCGAUCAUGCAUUACUUGCUUUAAGGCUUCACCUAAUAAUGUUAAUCCCAUAAUGGAAAAUCUGCCUGGAAAUCGAGUCACUUCUCAGCGUCCAUUUCAAAGUACUGGCAUAGAUUUUGCAGGACCUUUUUGGGUCAAGGAUGGAACAACCAGAAAUAGAAUUCUGGUGAAAUGCUAUCUGUGUGUGUUUAUAUGUUUUUCCACCAAUGCCGCUCAUCUUGAACUGAUAAGAGAUUUAUCAUGUCAUUCAUUUUUAAACGGCUUUAAACGGUUUGUAUCUCGCAGAGGUAAUUGUAGCCACGUCUACACUGACAAUGGUACUAACUUUGUUGGUGGGGAGCGAGAACUUCGAAAUGUUUUAAUUAAAAUUAAACGAGACAAUAAAUUCACCGAAUUUUUACCGUCAACGGGCAAAACGUGGCAUUUUUCUCCCCCAUAUGGCCCUCACUUUGGAGGUCUUUGGGAGGCCUGCGUCAAAUCAACCAAGUAUCACUUGAGGAGAAUUUUGGGUAAUGCUCGUUUAACUUACGAGGGUUUGUACUCGUUAAUGGUACAAGACGAAGCAAUACUGAAUUCCAGACCACUCAUCCCCUUGUCAAAUGAUCCUAAUGAUCUAACCAUCCUCACCCCAGCCCACUUCCUCAUAGGCGAACCCCUCACAGCUUUACCUCAAGCGGACUGCACGCACACAAGUAGAAGAAAGAAUGUCUAAACCUACGGCCCGGAAUGCUGGUUCUACUAAAGGAUGACGGUUCCGCGCCACUUCACUGGAAAAUGGGACGGAUAGUGUCGACCUUUCCAGGGAACGACGGUGUAGUUCGCGUAAUAGACGUUCAAACCAUGGGGGCCUCACUCAAAUAGUCAAGGUCAGACCAAGAUUUUGAUUGUCGUUAGCGCCACCUAGGCCCUGCUUACGAGGCAACUUACUCAUAAAUGAACGGAACAUCCCCGAGGGGGCGCCAUGGCGACGUUUACAGCGUGGAUGCUGAUUUGCAUUUUUCGCGAGGCGUCAUUUUCGGUAUCAGGGAAAGGCGUUGUUUCUUGCACAAGUUUUUUGCUUUCUGCGACCAAUAAUUUAUUAAAACAUGAGUUUUAGACCUUGUUGUGUGCCUAUCAGUGCGAUGAUAUUUGUUCCAAACGGUGUUCAUUUCCUAGAAGACUCGUAUAUCUUGUUUUCAAGAUUACUACAUACAUUAUUCGCUCUACAUACUA